GUGAAAUUGUUGAAAGGGAAGCGCUUGCAACCAGACCUGCCUGCAGUUGCUCAUCCGGGCUUUUGCCCGGUGCACUCUUCUGCUGUCAGGCCAGCAUCGGUUCGGGCGGUCGGAUAAAGGCUUCGGGAAUGUAGCUCCUCUCGAGGAGUGUUAUAGCCCGUUGCGAAAUGCGGCCAGCCUGAACUGAGGUCCGCGCUUCGGCUAGGAUGCUGGCGUAAUGGUUGUAAGCGGCCCGUCUUGAAACACGGACCAAGGAGUCUAACAUCUGUGCGAGUGUUUGGGUGUCAAACCCGUACGCGUAAUGAAAGUGAACGGAGGCGGGAACCCCUCGGGGUGCACCGUCGACCGAUCCUGAUGUCUUCGGAUGGAUUUGAGUAAGAGCAUAGCUGUUGGGACCCGAAAGAUGGUGAACUAUGCCUGAAUAGGGUGAAGCCAGAGGAAACUCUGGUGGAGGCUCGCAGCGGUUCUGACGUGCAAAUCGAUCGUCAAAUUUGGGCAUAGGGGCGAAAGACUAAUCGAACUAUCUAGUAGCUGGUUCCUGCCGAAGUUUCCCUCAGGAUAGCAGUAACGUUUUCAGUUUUAUGAGGUAAAGCGAAUGAUUAGAGGCCUGGGGGUUGAAACAACCUUCACCUAUUCUCAAACUUUAAAUAUGUAAGAAGUCCUUGUUGCUUAGUUGAACGUGGACAUUUGAAUGUAUCGUUACUAGUGGGCCAUUUUUGGUAAGCAGAACUGGCGAUGCGGGAUGAACCGAACGCGGAGUUAAGGUGCCGGAAUGCACGCUCAUCAGACA
rnacentral:rRNA from 1 species